rnacentral:tRNA from 1 species
AGCAUGUUAGCUUAGCAGGUGGACCGUCGGGCUCAUGUCCCGGAGGUAAGUCAAGGUUCACACACCAACAGUUAUCCAUAAUAACAUCAAACUAACAAUAAAUAGACCCUGGAUCGAAACCAGGACAUGCUA